ensembl:lncRNA
AUGCAAUCAACAGAAAUCUGAAGUCAUUAUUACAGUACCAUGAGGAUAAAAACAGGCCAUGGUGCUGUAUGUGAUGUUCUUCUCUGGGUAUAGAAAUGACUGAAUUUCAGAUCAUCAACCUGACUCCAUUUUAAAUCACAGAGACUGUAUACAAGAAGAACUCAUACCCAGCCUCAUUAAAAAAAAAAAAAAGUAUAUAAGUCAGCUUACCUACAAUGUCUGAUUUGCUGAAAUGAGAGUGAAAGAGCAAAACAGAUUUUGUGAUCAGAAGAGCCUGAGUUAGAGGAAAGAUUUUUGGAUGCUCUGUCACAAAGCUGAUUUAGGUUCGCUGCAUGUGGUAAAGUGAGCUGAACCAUUCCAGAUGCCCUGAAGAUUUGAAUUUGUUCUCGGACAGAAGUCAUCAGGACAUACAAAGAUGACUGUGACUCCUCAGAGUUGGAGGUACAUUCCUUGGAAAAUUAGAUUCUGGAAAGAAUGACUCACUUGUUUUUUCACAGUGAAGAGACUGACAUGGGAGCCUUGUCCACUUGACUAUUUGAAAGCAAAGCUGACAUCAGGAGCAGGCCAGUAACCUUUUUAACAUAGCAUCUUUGUUACAUGGAAACACAAGGAAGGAAGAAGGGUGUGAUUCUAUCUGUGAAGAUCCCCCAUAAUCUCGCUGAGCUUUUGUUGCCUGUGCCGAGGGAUGUCAGGCCUAUAAAGGCAUGAGCAGCUCAGCAGCUUUGCAGAAAUGUUGAAGUUCCUGUAGCAGCAUCCUCUAGUUCACAGAGAAACUGUAUGUGCCAGCUGGAUCAAUCAGGGUCCAUCAGGCUGACUGGCUUCAGUUAAGCAAUUUGUUAUUGGUAACUUGGUGCUCUAGGCAGUUCUUACCCACUUAGUUAACUCUGCUAAGAAGGGAGCUUUUGGUUUGGAUUUUCUUCUGCUUCACUGAAAAUUUAGAGCUUGGUUGGACGUUUUUUAAUUAGAAAUUUAAUUGCUAAGAAGAAAACUUAUGCUACAGGUCACUAUGACUACAUAAAUCUUCCUUUUUUAUUCCCUUAUUAUUAGGUUUGCCGAAGUGCAAGUUAAUCCCUGUUUACUUGUCCUACCAGUCUAUUAUCUGGAUUUUCUGAAGCCAAACAAGCAUCAAGUCAAGUGUUAUAGGGCUCAGUUCUCUGCAAGCAGGGUUGAAAUCUGGUUUGCAAGCUCUAGAGCAGUUCAACCUCAGACCAAUAUCAUGCCUUCGAGUUGUGCAGCUGGUCGUGCCUGAGAGGUAAUGAUUUUUUGUAAACAUGGUGUCUGUAUACCCCAUAGGUACUUCUGUCUCUUUGCAUUUUGAUCUGUUUGAGCUCUGCGUUGCCUUGCAGUCUGAACAGCAAAAUGACUGACUGUUCCCAUCAGCCUGUCACUCGGCUCCAGCUGUUCCCUUAAGCUGCAGUGAACUGUUCAGCAAGAUUGUCCGGUGUGGUCUCUCAUUGGGAAGGGACUGGAUAUUUGCUUUCUGGUUCACUUUACUCCAUUUCUGGCUGCUCAGCAUGCCCCAGACAAUGAUGCAGAAGGUCAGUGAUGGUAAUGCAAGGAGUCAUUUGAGGAAUCUGAAGAGAG